AGUGAAGCGGGAUGAGCUCAAAUUUAAAAUCUGGCUGGUUUACUAGUCCGAAUUGUAGUUUAUAGAAGCGUUUUCGGUGGCAGCCUGGGUAUAAAUCCUUUGGAAUAGGGUAUCAUAGAGGGUGAGAAUCCCGUCUUUGACUCAGUGCAUGCUACUAUGUGAUACGUUUUCAAAGAGUCGAGUUGUUUGGGAAUGCAGCUCAAAAUGGGUGGUAAAUUUCAUCUAAAGCUAAAUAUUGGCGAGAGACCGAUAGCGAACAAGUACCGUGAGGGAAAGAUGAAAAGAACUUUGAAAAGAGAGUUAAACAGUGCGUGAAAUUGUUGAAAGGGAAACGUUUGACACCAGUUAUGCGGGUGGAAAAUCAGUCUUUUGCAAUGGGGAGUUGUGGGCGUUCAGACCGCAAGGCUGGCGUUUGCUUCAUCUUUGUUGUAAGUGAUGCACUUUUUCAUUUGCAGGUCAACAUCAGUUUGCUUUGCUGGACAAAACCCCAAGGGAAGGUGGCAGCUUAGGCUGUGUUAUAGCCCUGGGGCGAUACAGUGGAGUGGACUGAGGUUUCGCAGUGUGUGCUCUCGGGCAAGGCUGACUGGGUGCUAUGGGAUCGUUCGGCGUACAAUGCAUGCAUUUUGCGUCGUGUCUUUUUCAUACUCGCUCAACUCGGCUCUUCCACACUUAGGAUGUUGACUUAAUGGUUUUAAACGACCCGUCUUGAAACACGGACCAAGGAGUCUAACAUAUAUGCAAGUGUUUGGGUGGCAAACCCAUGCGCGUAAUGAAAGUGAACGUAGGUGCGAUCCGCAAGGUGCAGCAUCGACCGAUCUUGAUAUUUUUGGAUAGAUUUGAGUAAGAGCAUAUAUGCUGGGACCCGAAAGAUGGUGAACUAUGCCUGAAUAGGGUGAAGCCAGAGGAAACUCUGGUGGAGGCUCGUAGCGAUUCUGACGUGCAAAUCGAUCGUCAAAUUUGGGUAUAGGGGCGAAAGACUAAUCGAAACCAUCUAGUUAGCUGG
rnacentral:rRNA from 2 species